rnacentral:rRNA from 1 species
AAAAGUCGUAACAAGGUCUCCGUUGGUGAACCAGCGGAGGGAUCAUUACAG